rnacentral:rRNA from 1 species
AGAUUGAACGCUGGCGGCAGGCCUAACACAUGCAAGUCGAGCGGCAGCACGGGAAGCUUGCUUUCUGGUGGCGAGCGGCGGACGGGUGAGUAAUGCAUAGGAAUCUACCCGGUAGUGGGGGAUAACCUGGGGAAACUCAGGCUAAUACCGCAUACGUCCUACGGGAGAAAGCGGGGGCUCUUCGGACCUCGCGCUAUCGGAUGAGCCUAUGCCGGAUUAGCUAGUUGGUGAGGUAAUGGCCCACCAAGGCGACGAUCCGUAGCUGGUCUGAGAGGAUGAUCAGCCACAUCGGGACUGAGACACGGCCCGAACUCCUACGGGAGGCAGCAGUGGGAAUAUGGACAAGUGGGGGCAACCCUGAUCCAGCCAUCGCCGCGUGUGUGAAGAAGGCGUUUCGGGUUGUAAAGCACUUUCGAGGUGGGAAGAAAGUCCCGUUGGGCUUUAAAGUACGU